GCCGAAAUAGCUCAGUUGGGGAGAGCGUUAGACUGAAGAUCUAAAGGUCCUUGGUCCGAUCCCGGGUUUCCUGCA